rnacentral:rRNA from 1 species
AACGAACGCUGGCGGCGUGCCUAACACAUGCAAGUCGAACGGUUGUAGCAAGUACAAUAGUGGCGCACGGGUGCGUAACGCGUGGGAAUCUGCCCUUGGGUUCGGAAUAACUCAGAGAAAUUUGAGCUAAUACCGGAUGAUGACGUAAGUCCAAAGAUUUAUUGCCCAAGGAUGAGCCCGCGUAGGAUUAGCUUGUUGGUGAGGUAAAGGCUCACCAAGGCGACGAUCCUUAGCUGGUCUGAGAGGAUGAUCAGCCACACUGGGACUGAGACACGGCCCAGACUCCUACGGGAGGCAGCAGUGGGGAAUAUUGGACAAUGGGCGAAAGCCUGAUCCAGCAAUGCCGCGUGAGUGAUGAAGGCCUUAGGGUUGUAAAGCUCUUUUACCCGGGAUGAUAAUGACAGUACCGGGAGAAUAAGCUCCGGCUAA